ACGUUUUUUUCAUAGAGAUUUAGAUUUAAGGUUAGAAGAAUUGUGGAAGUCGUGAGACUUCCCUUUUUUUUAUCCCUUAAUUCUUGUUCUCUCAGAAUUUACCGACAAAUCUUAUAUUGCCAAGAGGAUAUAAAAAAAAGCUCUUUCAUGCGAAAGAGCUUUUUU
rnacentral:sRNA from 1 species